rnacentral:rRNA from 1 species
UACAGAGGUCCCAAGCGUUGUUCGGAUUUACUGGGCGUAAAGGGUGCGUAGGUGGCGGGGUAAGUCUGGUGUGAAAGCUCCGAGCUCAACUCGGAAAAGCAUUGGAAACUAUCCCGCUUGAGGGUCGGAGGGGAGACUGGAAUUCUCGGUGUAGCAGUGAAAUGCGUAGAUAUGCGGAGGAACACCGAUGGCGAAGGCAAUCCCCUGGGCCUGCACUGACGCUCAUGCACGAAAGCGUGGGGAGCAAACAGG